rnacentral:rRNA from 1 species
UCAGAUUGAACGCUGGCGGCAGGCCUAACACAUGCAAGUCGAGCGGUAACAUUUCUAGCUUGCUAGAAGAUGACGAGCGGCGGACGGGUGAGUAAUACUUGGGGAUCUGCCUGAUGGCGGGGGACAACCACUGGAAACGGUGGCUAAUACCGCAUAAUGCCUACGGGCCAAAGUGUGGGACCUUCGGGCCACAUGCCAUCAGAUGAACCCAAGCGAGAUUAGCUAGUUGGUGAGGUAACGGCUCACCAAGGCGACGAUCUCUAGCUGGUCUGAGAGGAUGAUCAGCCACACUGGGACUGAGACACGGCCCAGACUCCUACGGGAGGCAGCAGUGGGGAAUAUUGGACAAUGGGCGCAAGCCUGAUCCAGCCAUGCCGCGUGUGUGAAGAAGGCCUUCGGGUUGUAAAGCACUUUCAGUGGUGAGGAAGGCGUUGUAGUUAAUAGCUGCAACGAUUGACGUUAGCCACAGAAGAAGCACCGGCUAACUCCGUGCCAGCAGCCGCGGUAAUACGGAGGGUGCGAGCGUUAAUCGGAAUUACUGGGCGUAAAGCGCACGUAGGCGGUUUGUUAAGCAAGAUGUGAAUGCCCAGAGCUCAACUCUGGAAUAGCAUUUUGAACUGGCAUGCUAGAGUUUUGGAGAGGGUGGUAGAAUUUCCAGUGUA